AAAACAUAACCAAGACAACAAAUAGAACAAGGAAGCAUGGAAACGAUAUCGAUAUGUUUCAUGGUGAUGACUUGAUCAUAGAAUUCUUCAUUUUCUUCUUUGUGGUUGUUCUUGA
rnacentral:ribozyme from 12 species